UAAGUUAAAAUUAAAAAUAAAUUAUAAGUAAAAAAAAUAAUUUUUAUAUUAAAAUUGGGGGGUUUUAGUAUAAAUAAGGAAAAAAUUAUAAUUUUUAUAGCGUAAUAGUAUUGUGAAAGAAUUUUGAAAUAAUAAUUAAAAAAAAAAAUAAUAAAAAAGUAAAUUUUGUUUAUUGUAUCUUGUGUAUCAGAGUUUAUUAAAUAAAGAAUUAAGUUUAAUUUUUCUCGAAUUAAAAAGAGAUAAUUAAUUAAAAAAGUUAUUGUAGUAUAAAUAUUUUUAAUAAUUAAUUUGAAAUGAGAUGUUAAUCGUUUUUUAAGAUAUCUAGUUUUUUUAGAAAAAAAUUUAAUUUUAAAUAUAUUUUAAUAAAUAAUUAAUUUAAUAAUAUAAUUUGGAUAUAAUAUAAUUAUUUUUAAAUAUGAUUUUAUAUUUUAGGGGAUAAGCUUUAAAUUAGAUUUUUAUAAUAAAAAUUAAAUUAUUAAAAUUUUUAGAAUUUAGAUUGUUAAUAAAUUAUAUUUUAUUAUAAAUAAUUUUAAUGAAAAAUAAUUAAAAUUUAAUAAAUUUUUAAAUAUUUAUAAAAAAAUAAUUUUUAAUUGAAAAUAUUUAGUUAUAAUGAUAAAAUUAGUAUAAUAAUUGAUUUUAAUAAGUAAAAUUAUUUUAAAGUUAAGUUAAAGGAAUUCGGCAAAUAUAUAUAUUCACUUGUUUAUCAAAAACAUGUCUUUUUGGGGGAUAAUUUAAAGUCUAAUCUGCCCACUGAUUUUAUAAAUUGAAGGGCUGCAGUAUAUUGACUGUACAAAGGUAGCAUAAUCAAUAGUCUUUUAAUUGAUGACUAGAAUGAAAGAUUGGAUGAAAUAUAAACUGUCUCUAAAUUAAUAAUUAGAAUUUAAUUUUUUAAUUAAAAAGUUAAAAUAAAAUUAAAAGACGAGAAGACCCUAUAGAGUUUUAUAAUUAAAUAUUAUUAAAAUUAUAUUUAAAAAUUUAAUUAAAAUAAAUUUGAUUAUUUUGUUGGGGUGAUAGAAAAAUUUAUAAAACUUUUUUUAAAAAGAAAUUAUUCAUAAAUAAGUGAAUUAUUGAUCCAAAAUUUUUGAUUAAAAGAAAAAAUUACCUUAGGGAUAACAGCGUAAUUUUUUUUUUUAGUUCAAAUAAAAAAAAAAGUUUGCGACCUCGAUGUUGGAUUAAGAUAAAAUUUAAAUGCAAAAGUUUAAAAUUUUGAUCUGUUCGAUCAUUAAAAUCUUACAUGAUCUGAGUUCAAACCGGUUUAAGCCAGGUUGGUUUCUAUCUUUAAUAAAAUUAAAUAUUUUAGUACGAAAGGAAUAAAUAUUUAAAUUAAAUUUUUAAUAUGAAUAAUAUUAAUAUAAAAAAAAAUUAUU
rnacentral:rRNA from 1 species